rnacentral:rRNA from 1 species
UAGGGAAUCUUCCACAAUGGGCGCAAGCCUGAUGGAGCAACACCGCGUGAGUGAAGAAGGGUUUCGGCUCGUAAAGCUCUGUUGUUAAAGAAGAAUACGUAUGAGAGUAACUGUUCAUACGUUGACGGUAUUUAACCAGAAAGUCACGGCUAACUACGUG